rnacentral:rRNA from 1 species
UGGGGAAUCUUGGACAAUGGGGGCAACCCUGAUCCAGCCAUGCCGCGUGAGUGAUGAAGGCCUUAGGGUCGUAAAGCUCUUUCGCCUGUGAAGAUAAUGACGGUAGCAGGUAAAGAAACCCCGGCUAACUCCGUGCCAGCAGCCGCGGUAAUACGGAGGGGGUUAGCGUUGUUCGGAAUUACUGGGCGUAAAGCGCACGUAGGCGGACCAGAAAGUUGGGGGUGAAAUCCCGGGGGCUCAACCCCGGAACUGCCUCCAAAACUAUUGGUCUAGAGUUCGAGAGAGGUGAGUGGAAUUCCAAGUGUAGAGGUGAAAUUCGUAGAUAUUUGGAGGAACACCAGUGGCGAAGGCGGCUCACUGGCUCGAUACUGACGCUGAGGUGCGAAAAGUGUGGGGAGCAAAACAGGAUUAGAUACCCUGGGUAGUCCACACCGUAAAACGAUGAAUGCCAGUCGUCGGGUAGCAUGCUAUUCGGUGAC